rnacentral:rRNA from 1 species
AGAGUUUGAUCAUGGCUCAGAUUGAACGCUGGCGGCACGCUUUACACAUGCAAGUCGGGCGGCAGCAUGGGGCUUCGGCCCCGAUGGCGAGCGGCGGACGGGUGAGUAAUGCAUGGGAAUGUACCCGGAAGUGGGGGAUAACCCUGGGAAACCAGGGCUAAUACCGCAUGUUUUCUACGGAACAAAGCGGAGGAUCUUCGGACUUCGCGCUUUCGGAGCAGCCCAUGUCCGAUUAGUUUGUUGGCGGGGUAACGGCCCACCAAGACGACGAUCGGUAGCUGGUCUGAGAGGAUGAUCAGCCACACCGGAACUGAGACACGGUCCGGACUCCUACGGGAGGCAGCAGUGGGGAAUAUUGGACAAUGGGGGAAACCCUGAUCCAGCGAUGCCGCGUGAGUGAAGACGGCCUUCGGGUUGUAAAGCUCUUUCGCAGGGGAAGAAAAAACGCGGAGUAAUACGCCGCGUCCAUGACGGUACCCUGAGAAGAAGCACCGGCUAACUUCGUGCCAGCAGCCGCGGUAAUACGGGGGGUGCAAGCGUUAAUCGGAAUUACUGGGCGUAAAGCGUGCGUAGGCGGUCCUUCAAGUCAGAUGUGAAAGCCCCGGGCUUAACCCGGGAACUGCGUUUGAAACUGGAGGGCUAGAGUUCGGCAGAGGAAGGUGGAAUUCCGCGUGUAGCGGUGAAAUGCGUAGAGAUGCGGAAGAACACUAAUGGCGAAGGCAUCCUUCUGGGCCGAUACUGACGCUGAGUCACGAAAGCGUGGGGAGCAAACAGGAUUAGAUACCCUGGUAGUCCACGCCCUAAACGAUGCCCGCUAGCUGUCGGGGGUUCGCCCCCGGUAGCGAAGCUAACGCGUUAAGCGGGCCGCCUGGGGAAUACGGUCGCAAGAUUAAAGCUCAAAGGAAUUGACGGGGACCCGCACAAGCGGUGGAUGAUGUGGUUUAAUUCGAUGCAACGCGAAAAACCUUACCUGCUCUUGACAUGUCCGGAAUCCUCCAGAGAGGGAGGAGUGCCUUCGGGAAUCGGAACACAGGUGCUGCAUGGCUGUCGUCAGCUCGUGUCGUGAGAUGUUGGGUUAAGUCCCGCAACGAGCGCAACCCUUGUCGUUAGUUGCCAGCGCGUCAUGGCGGGAACUUUAACG